UCUUCAAGGUUGGUUUACUGUUUAGAUGUCUUUAAUAAAGACUCCAUUUCCUUAUACAAGUCUAGAUAGACCACACGGUUCUGUAUCAACCAAUCAAACCUCAUAGCAAUAGCAACAGUUAGAUUUGAUCUGAAAACGCUUCAGUUUGAGCUAUUUCUGCUCACGAACAGAGAAGAUUGCAGUGCAACUGACCUUUAAAUGAUUAUUUCUCAGCACUUGCAACAAAGAGAAUCUCACCUAUCACCUUUACACUUUUGAUGCUACAAUAAGCCCUGUCCAUGUACCCCAUAAAGAGCUGCGGUAUCUUGACUAUUCCAGCCCCAAAUCUAUUCUACACUGUCAAUCACAUCACCUCCCAAGCCAGCUGCCAUUCUCCAGGUUGCCCUAUGGGAGGCUUAUGUGGAGAGGAACUGGAGGAAGCUCCAGUCAAUGGCUGCUGAGACACUGAGGCCACUAGUUCAACAACACAUGAGGAACUGAAUCUUGUCACCAACCAUCUGAGUGAGCCUCUAAUCUAUCCUUGAGGUGACUGCAGCCCUGGUGAUCACUCUGAUUGUUGUCUUGUUGAGGAUCUGAUCCAGAGGAUCCAGAUAGAGAAACAGAAUCACACAAGUGAAAUGAUCUGCCUGGGGUCUCUAAAGCUGAUUAGCAGCACAGCCAGAAUUAGAAUCGUCUACUUUGGAGGUCAUUUCACCAUGCCACCUGUCUGGUAGAGGAAUGUCUGCUGGGUGCUUAGAGUCAUCAACAAUCCACAAGUUUA